GCUCUUCAUAUUUCAUUUGUAAUAAAGAAAGCAUCAUCAGUGUGUCUCUUGUUGCAGGUAUCAAACAUGGCAACGUCUGCAGAAACAGAGGGAACAUCUUCGAGUCCAAGAAGAACGUUUUUUGGCCGACCUCUCACCUGAUUGGAUGGAGGAAGAGGAAGAGGAGGAAGAGGAGACUAAAUCAGUGAUCUAAAAGUCUGAACUUUGUGUCUGGACUUUGGGCUGACUGGUUGUUUGAAAACCAUGUUGAGUAUAAUGAUCUGUAGCUCUUUUUGUGACAGCUUGAUUUGGAUACUUAUGGAUAAAACAAAUGUAAAUGAUAAGAUUUGUUAGUGACAUAAGAUGAUGAAGUCAACUCAGCCUUAAAAACAACUGUUGUUUUCUAUUA